CUCUCCAUGCUAGUAAGCUACUACCAUGAUGACACGAGGAAGGUGAUAGUGGAGCACUUGGGGUCCCUGGAGGUCAUCAAGGUGAAUGCCGUCAGCUUGGAGAGGGCGCUCUGCCACUUCUUCAACCAUAACAUCCCAUGGAAUAUUCUGGUGAGCAAGACCGGCAUCGAGACAAGGAUCCGUCAGAUGCAAUGUCCAAACCUGCUCGACAUUGAUGGAGACUCCUGUCAUCACAUCCACAAUGCGGCAAAGAAGUUUGCAGAGCCCUUGAGCAGCUCUUCAAUGAUCUGCACACUGAUCAUCAGUGGUCUCCAGAUCAAGUAAAAACAAGUAUAUUUGAAUGUUUGGUAUUUACUUAUCACUCAAUGUAUGAAAUUAAUUAAAUCUUUAUUAAUUUGAUUCAUUAAUUCAUCUGAAUACUGAAUUUAUUCCAAAUCUAUCUUGUUUCUGUGCAAUCCUACCUUAAAUGAUGAAGAACAAUAAAGGGGCAGUAUAUGGAAAUAAAUAAUUUUAUAGUCUCUUUUUGUCAGAUGAUGUACCUCAAGGAGAUAUGCCGGUACCUGAACAUCCCUGCCUCAGAGGUUUGUGUCUACAUAUGUCACCAUUUGACACACAGAAUGCUGCCGGCGUACUACGGGUUCCUGAGCAACGAAGACCAGGAGCUGUACAAGGACCCACUGGAACACAUUUACAAAGAACACCACGUGAGCGAGACGGCACAAGCGCGGAUCAAGUCUUUGCACGAGGACCUCAACAGAAAAGGCAUGAAAGUAAAAGUAAAAGUUUUAAAAAGAAGUAAAAGACAGAAGCAAGAGGGUGACCAGGAAGGUGUGGCAUGAGGGCACUACAAGUGACCUACAACUCAGCAUUUACGUGGGUGUACUGGCUAUCCCGAAGGAGUACGUAAUGGUUUUUCAGGGUAGCCAGAUGUUGGUACAUAAGCUCCACGACAAACAGCUGUCAGCUUUUUUCUUGCUUCGUCAAAGCUGAAUACAUAACUAAAGUGUCACCCAAGACUAUGGGAGUGAUGGCACUUCAGGAGAAGAUGCUGCUGUCUGCCAGGGAGAUGUGUGUGGUGUGGGAAGCAGAUGGAAUCAGAACCAGGAAUCCUAAUCAUGCUCUGCUGAAGUCCUUCAUGGAACAGGUCACCAAAGCCUACACCACCUCUGCACUUCACAUGCAGAAUAAGUUGCCCUUGUAAAGUCACACACUGAGGUCACUGUCUGCUCUGGACACGAUUUUGAGAGGCCACUCGCAGGCAGCGAUCCAGUUGAAGAAGCUGAGCGCAAUGUUGGGCCACCUCUCACCAGCCAGCAGUGAUCUCCACCACGAGAUCAUGUGAUACAACAUCGAUCCAUGCCUGGCCAGCUUCACAGAGGGAGAUGGCAUGGUGGAGUGGUGGGCUCAUGUCUUGGCCCAGACACUGAAGUAUCCAGCCCUGGGUAAUGUGGUGAAAGGUGCCUUCUCCGUCUUUCAUGGUACCAGGGUUGAGUCUUUGUUUAGCUGGAUGAACGACAUCAUUGAUACACGAAGCCCCAACAUGAACAUCUCAACGUUCAAUGCAAUACAGACUGUGAAUUACACUGUAGUGGAGAUGUUUAAACGGGAGGAUGCAAGGUGGACCAAAGGCUCUGCAGAAACUUCAGGUCAGCAGGAACAGUAGACAAGACACAGUGGCAGCAGAGUCUGCUGGAAGACCGAAGACGACAUCUCGAGUAUGGCUGUCAGCCAUCUGGAAGUGCUCAGGAGAGCAAGAGGGCGGCAGCUGAAAGGAGAAGCGGGCGAGGCUCAAGCAUGCUGCAAAACAGCGCAAGUGGGCACUUGAAAUACUUGUCCAGGCUAAGAAAAAGAAGUAGGGGAAAACCCUCUACCCAGCCAUCGCCUUCCCUCCAGUACUCUCCCUUUGUCAAAUAAAUCCCAGAUUGUUAGGACGCAUCUGAGGCCUGUUUUCUGCCACCAUUUACCUUAAUUUUAUGGACUAUGUUUUUAUGUUUGCAAUUCAUAUAUUAUUAAAAGAAAGUGUUGUGAAAACGUAUGUGGGUAUAGGAAAGGAGAGUUCUAUUUGUGUUUCGUUUAACUUCCCCUCUGAAAUGUAUUACCUAUGAAUGUUCUGUUCUGUUGGGCAGUACAGUAUCAUAGGGACUGUUCCUGAAAGCUGGAUCAAUGAGUUAGCUAGCUAACUUUCCAGAAUAUCUGGAAAUAACUCCAUCCUUUGAGAAAUAUUGACCUAAAAUGUAUGUGGCAUUAUAUUGACUCGACUACAUAAACCAGUAUAAAAUAUGAA